ACUUUUUGGAGUCUCAAAGUUGGCUUUAUAAGUUAGCACCAAACCUGUGUUCAGUGCAAGUAGGAAAGCAUGAAUUUGGCAUGUUAGUGCUUUGUUUUUUUAAGACAUAACAGGGAAAAUGCUAUAACCAUUCUAACAGCCGAUGAGGCUUGCUUUUACAAAAGGAUCUUGUGAUCGAGCAAGGUAAGAUGGUUUUAAUCAUUUAGUCAUUACAGAAAAAAAAAUUUUUUAAGGCAGGAUCUGUUUAAUCUGAGUUUGAACUCACCAUCCUUGUGCCUCAGCCUUCCCAGUGGUGAGAUCACUUCUGACUAAACGGUGAUGUGAAGAUUGGAGGUUGUUUGCUGUGGUUCCCGCUUUCCUGGCUUUCGCCCAGCAGUACUGACUUUAGUUCUCCCAGCAGAGAACUGGAACAGUCACCACACUCUACAGGUGAUUUGAAGACUUAAGUUGGAUUAAAAACUUUGAAGUUACCUAACCUAUAUUAAACUCAUUCAAUUAUACUUAAAA
rnacentral:lncRNA from 1 species